AUGAACCAAAAAAAAAGAAAAACAAAAGAAGAAGAGAAUGGAGGAAGAAGAAAACAGAGCUCUGGCGAUGUUCAUGACACGCAGCAGCAAAUCACCUCAUUCCCUCCGUGCAAAACUUCUGACCCGACGUACAAAACCGUGACUCCAACCAACGGCGACCUCCGAAGAGCACUCCAGAUCCUCCAUAGGCCCCAUUCCGAAGAGUUCACCACAUCAACCACGAAACCCUUCUGA